UGAGCAAGGAAGUCCAGAGAACAACAGUCCUGUGACAGCAAGUCAAUUCUCAUCGGCCAUAGUAGAGCUAGAAGGCACAAGUCAAAUCAACACUUCUCCUGGUCCUGUGACAAGAAGGCAAUCACUUUUAGCAAUGGUGGAGGUAGGAGGGUCAAACCAAAUCACUACAAGUUUUGGACCUGUAACAACAAGCCAAACCGGAGAAGAGGCACUAAAUAUUGUUACCACUCCCACCAAGUCUCCAGCAAGGCGUCGGAUAGGACUUAAGAAAAAGCUCAC